rnacentral:rRNA from 1 species
AGGACGAACGCUGGCGGCGUGCCUAACACAUGCAAGUCGAACGAGGUCCAACCGGUGGCAACACUGGUGAAGACCUAGUGGCGAACGGGUGAGUAUCACGUGAGCAACCUGCCCCGAAGACUGGGAUAACACCGGGAAACCGGUGCUAAUACCGGAUACCCCCACCGGAUCGCAUGGCCUGGUGAGGAAAUGAAUUUUGCUUUGGGAGGGACUCGCGGCCUGUCAGCUUGUUGGUGGUGUAACGGAUCACCAAGGCUUCGACGGGUAGCUGGUCUGAGAGGACGAUCAGCCACACUGGGACUGAGACACGGCCCAGACUCCUACGGGAGGCAGCAGUGGGGAAUCUUGCGCAAUGGGCGAAAGCCUGACGCAGCAACGCCGCGUGAGGGACGAAGGCCUUCUGGGUUGUAAACCUCGUUUCAGCAGGGACGAUGAUGACGGUACCUGCAGAAGAAGCCCCGGCAACUACGUGCCAGCAGCCGC